rnacentral:misc_RNA from 1 species
GAUGAAGAACGUAGCGAAAUGCGAUAAGUAAUGUGAAUUGCAGAAUUCCGUGAAUCAUCGAAUCUUUGAACGCACAUUGCGCCCUCUGGUAUUUCCGGGGGGCAUGCCUGUCCGAGCGUCAUUGCAAACCCUCAAGCCCGGCUUGUCUGAUGGGUCCCGCGUCCGCCCCUCACGGGGUGGACGGGCCCGAAACGCAGUGGCGGCGUCGCGGUAAUCCGAUCAGCCAGAGCGUAUGGGGACUUCUCGUCACACGCUCCCGGCGCGGACCGGCGCCCGCCGAGACCAAAUCUCACACCCAAGGUUUGACCUCGGAUCAGGUAGGGAUACCCGCUGAACUUAAGCAUAUCAAUAAGCGGAGGA